AAUUUAAUGUGCUAAUAUUGUUAUUGAUAAACAUAUUUUAACCUUUUUUUUUUUACAAAACACAAGUAUAUCAGCAUACAUAUCUAUAGUGCAUACAAUAGGAACGAAUGAAUAUUUAAUACAAACGCCUCACGCUUCACUAAUGUCAGGAAUGCAAUCUCACAAUGAAUCCCUGAUGUAUUUGAAACUUUAUGCAGUAUUUACAUUAAGAUUUCACUGUACUGUGCUUUGCCACUAUGGGCAGUGAGAGCUUGAACACUGCUAGUCUGACGGACAUGACUGAGCUGGACCCAUGGGAAGAGAUGAGCAGCACUGGCUGUACUGAGCGUAUUAUCGUUUAUAGAAAGAUUGCACCAGGAGAGGGCGCUCAAGUGGCGUGUAAGUGCAUUAGCUGCUAAUCACGAGUCUAGUAUCUCCGAAUGUGUUUGGAUGGACACGAGUGAUCAGUUUGAAAUGAAGAGAUUGAGAUCAUCGCUGUUGCAUAGCUCAGAGGAAUGUCCAAGAUCAGUGCCCAAAAUAAAAUAAAUGCAUCCCUGUCAAAAUGGACGGCAUUUAAUAUAAAAAAGACGCUAAAUGGCUGAAGAAACACAUCUUCUUUUGGACAACAGUUGAAGGAGAUUGCUAAUUAAAAAAAAACUGUCUACUUGACAAUAAAAACUUCAAUAACGGAGUGAGAUCCUGUAAGGCACAUGAGAAUACACCAACAGUUCUCAAAAACAACUCCCAGAGAAAACAGGAAUUCAUCUCAAACAGGAACAGAGGAGGGUGCGUUCAGACACAAGCUGAUGUCCAGACAAAUGUAUGCGAGGGGAGAACUAAGAAAUGUGAUGUCUGAGAUAAAUGUAAAACUUCAGUUUCUUUUGCUGUGAUGGCUGAGUCUCGGAGGAGAGUCUCCUCAAGUACAGCAUCAAAAAACACUCUAUAACGGAUGGAAACAGGUCUUUGCUAUUGCAAAAUAGGAGUGUGAGGAGUCCUUGGCUAAAGCUCACAGCUCCGAUUUCUCUGUGAGAGGCUGGAUUUCAGAAGGAUCGUCCUGAGGGAAGACCACGUAACACAUCUUCUGCCCCAGACACAGGUGGUUGAGAGGAGUCGGGUGGCGAUGUAUGGAGGCAGGCAGUUUGGGAAGGCAGGCUGCAGAACAUAGUUGGAAAAGGUGAGCGCAAUCACAGCCAGAGUCGUUGGGUACAUGAUCAACACUGCACUCCACAGCAACAAGAAGCUGUGAAAACAACAAUUGGCCAUCUUUAUCUUCACACAUACACACAGACUUCUGAGUGUCAGUGUUAUAACUGAGUCAGCAAGUAAACACAUGUGAAUCUCCCCGAGGAAGAGACAGUGUCUUCAAACACAAACUGAGAUGUUCACAUUGACAUUUAUGCAUUUGGUGGACAUUUUCACCCAAAGCAAUUAAUGCUGCAUCGGUUCAUGCAUUUGAACCUAUAGGGGAAUUGAACCUAUUACUCGUAUUACAGAGUAACACUCUGGAGAGCAGCAAUACACCUACCCCACCAGUCCCCCGAAGAUCUCUGUCACAUAUGAGUAGUCUCCACCUGAUUUGGGGAUGGUGACGCCCAGCUCAGCAUAACAAAGAGAUCCCAGGGCACAGAUUCCGCCUCCCAGGACCCACACGAUGAGUGAGAACCCCACACUGCCAGCAUGAUCCAGAACCCCCUUUGGAGAGAUGAAGAUCCCUGAGCCAAUGAUGUUGCCUGAAAAAAACAAGAGAAACAGCAAUGGGUUGUUUAGUUUUUUAUAUAUACAUUUUAUUAUUUCAUAUUUAAAAUAAACUACGUAGCUGGACUG
rnacentral:lncRNA from 1 species